rnacentral:tRNA from 2 species
CGGCGGUACGGAGGGCUGCCGGGGCCCGUUGUCAGUGGGCCCCGGUAGGUUCCGUAUCCGGAACUGCCGA